UACGGAGGAUCCAAGCGUUAUCCGGAUUUAUUGGGUUUAAAGGGUGCGUAGGCGGCCUAUUAAGUCAGGGGUGAAAGACGGUAGCUUAACUAUCGCAGUGCCUUUGAUACUGAUGGGCUUGAAUGAACUAGAGGUAGGCGGAAUGUGACAAGUAGCGGUGAAAUGCAUAGAUAUGUCACAGAACACCAAUUGCGAAGGCAGCUUACUAUGGUUUUUAUUGACGCUGAGGCACGAAAGCGUGGGGGAUCAAAACAGG
rnacentral:rRNA from 1 species